GAUGGACGCUGGCGGCGUGCCUAAUACAUGCAAGUCGAGCGAACGGACGAGAAGCUUGCUUCUCUGAUGUUAGCGGCGGACGGGUGAGUAACACGUGGAUAACCUACCUAUAAGACUGGGAUAACUUCGGGAAACCGUAGCUAAUACCGGAUAAUAUUUUGAACCGCAUGGUUCAAAAGUGAAAGACGGUCUUGCUGUCACUUAUAGAUGGAUCCGCGAUGCAUUAGCUAGUUGGUAAGGUAACGGCUUACCAAGGCAACGAUGCAUAGCCGACCUGAGAGGGUGAUCGGCCACACUGGAACUGAGACACGGUCCAGACUCCUACGGGAGGCAGCAGUAGGGAAUCUUCCGCAAUGGGCGAAAGCCUGACGGAGCAACGCCGCGUGAGUGAUGAAGGUCUUCGGAUCGUAAAACUCUGUUAUUAGGGAAGAACAUAUGUGUAAGUAACUGUGCACAUCUUGACGGUACCUAAUCAGAAAGCCACGGCUAACUACGUG
rnacentral:rRNA from 1 species